GCGCGAUAUUUCUGGAAAUAUCGCGAGUUGUUUUCAACCCCCUCCCCUCUGGAAGAUUCUUUUCGCGCCUUUGGACGGAGUGAAUGUUAGAGCUGGUAUUUUUCCUGGACAAAGUGGAAUAAAAGAACAAGUUUUCUGCUGUAAAGCAUGCUGCCAUUUGCUGUUGUUGAUUUUCUGGAUGGUGGGGGUGUAUCCAUUGUUCCUUGCAAGUGGUUUACAGGACCAGCAGAAGACUCUUGUUUCUGGCCACCAGGGAGAGUAAAUAUCAACAAGGUGGUAAGGGAUGAAAUCUCUCCAAAUACAGACUGGCCACAGUACAGAGUUCGCAUCUUGGGGAAAGCUGAGAGCUAUGAAAGUGCCAGAGUAAAACUGCGGAGGUCUGAGACAACAUCUGAUCUGCAGACCGAGUCAGAUUCUGGAGGGAGAUUGGGAAAAG